rnacentral:ncRNA from 10 species
ACAGUACAAACUGAGCAGACCGGGAUUAUCGUAUAUAACGAUUAUUAAUGAAGCUUAUUAUAUAAUCCUGGAGUCGGGUCACACGCGUGACAGUGGAAUCUUUUCUAUCCACGGGACAGUA